AGAGUUUGAUCCUGGCUCAGAAUCAACGCUGGCGGCGUGCCUAACACAUGCAAGUCGAACGAGAAAGGGGAGCAAUCCCCAAGUAAAGUGGCGACCGGGUGAGUAACACGUGACUAACCUACCCUCGAGUGUGGAAUAACAUCGGGAAACCGAUGCUAAUACCGCAUAAUAUCGCAAGAUCAAAGGAGCAAUCCGCUUGAGGAGGGGGUCGCGGCUGAUUAGCUAGUUGGCGGGGUAACGGCCCACCAAGGCGAAGAUCGGUAUCCGGCCUGAGAGGGCGCACGGACACACUGGAACUGAAACACGGUCCAGACUCCUACGGGAGGCAGCAGUGGGGAAUUUUGCGCAAUGGGGGAAACCCUGACGCAGCAACGCCGCGUGGAGGAUGAAGCCCCUUGGGGCGUAUACUCCUUUCGACCAAGACGAUCAUGACGGUACUGGGGGGAAGAAGACCCGGUUAUCUCUGUGCCACCAGCCGCUGUAACUACCCGAGGGUUCUACCCGUCGUCUCUGAAUUUUUGGGCCG
rnacentral:rRNA from 1 species